CAGAUUUCCAUCACCUUCAUCAUCUCACCCACACCCACAUGCACCACCGCCAUACCACACACGCACCACCUCCCAAACCUCCACAAUCCGCUCGCCUUUCCAAUGUCGGUGGGGAUCAAAUGCGACAGCAGCAACGCCUUGGAUUCGAAACUGACUGGUUUAAAACCGGAACUCUUGCAUGUGGGGAACACCACCUUAGGCCAUGCAAAGGAGUAGUCACGCGUUCUCUAAC
rnacentral:lncRNA from 1 species